GCAAGAGCAAGGAGUGCAGAAAGCACACCUUGCACAAGGUUACACAAUAUAAGAAGGGAAAGGAUAGUCUUGCUGCACAGGGUAAGCGUCGGUACGAUCGCAAGCAAUCAGGAUAUGGAGGUCAGACCAAGCCUGUGUUUCACAAGAAGGCAAAAACUACCAAGAAGAUUGUGUUGAGGCUGCAAUGCCAAGGGUGCAAACAUGUAUCCCAGCACCCAAUCAAGAGAUGCAAGCACUUCGAAAUUGGUGGAGACAAGAAGGGAAAGGGAACUUCUCUUUUCUAGACCCUUUGUCAGUUUUUAUCUUUUGUCAUUUCUUUUUCACAAGAUUAUUUGUUAUUGGAGUUCUUGCACCAUUACUCUGUGUUCAGCAAUUAGUUCUACGUGCUGUAAUGAUACUGUUUAGCUGAAACUCUCAUGUCUUAAUUAUUGAAUUGCCA
rnacentral:misc_RNA from 1 species